UCUGGUUGAUCCUGCCAGUAGUCAUAUGCUUGUCUCAAAGAUUAAGCCAUGCAUGUCUAAGUACAAACCUUAAUACGGUGAAACCGCGAAUGGCUCAUUAAAUCAGCUAUGGUUCCUUAGAUCGUCUCAUCCUACUCGGAUAACUGUGGAAAAUCUAGAGCUAAUACGUGCUUACAAGCCCUGACCUCACGGGAGGGGCGCAUUUAUUAGAUCAAAACCAAUCGGGGCUUGCCCCGUCUGCUUGGUGACUCUGGAUAACUUUUGUGCUGAUCGCAUGGCCUCUGCGCUGGCGACGUAUCUUUCAAGUGUCUGCCCUAUCAACUUACGAUGGUAGGUGAUAUGCCUACCAUGGUUAUAACGGGUAACGGGGAAUCAGGGUUCGAUUCCGGAGAGGGAGCCUGAGAAACGGCUACCACAUCUAAGGAAGGCAGCAGGCGCGCAAAUUACCCACUCCCGGCACGGGGAGGUAGUGACGAAAAAUAACGAUACGGGACUCUUUUGAGGCCCCGUAAUUGGAAUGAGUACACUUUAAAUCCGUUAACAAGUAUCUAUUGGAGGGCAAGUCUGGUGCCAGCAGCCGCGGUAAUUCCAGCUCCAAUAGCGUAUAUUAAUGUUGCUGCAGUUAAAAAGCUCGUAGUUGGAUCUGAGGACUCGAAUUGGUGGUGCACCAUACGGUGUUACUGCCGAUUCGGCCUACCUAGUCGGUGCUCGCUCUUGGUGUUCUUAAUUGAAUGCCCUGAGUGCCCGGCAAGUUUACUUUGAAAAAAUUAGAGUGCUCAAAGCAGGCCAUUAGCCGGAAUACUUCAGCAUGGAAUAAUGGAAUAGGACUUCGGUUCUAUUUUGUUGGUUUUCGGAACCCGAGGUAAUGAUUAAGAGAGACAGACGGGGGCAUUCGUACUGCGGUGUUAGAGGUGAAAUUCUUGGAUCGCCGCAAGACGAACAACUGCGAAAGCAUUUGCCAAGAAUGUUUUCAUUAAUCAAGAACGAAAGUCAGAGGUUCGAAGACGAUCAGAUACCGUCCUAGUUCUGACCAUAAACGAUGCCAACUGGCGAUCCGAGAUCGUUUGCUUAUUGACCUCUCGGGCAGCCUCCGGGAAACCAAAGUUUUUAGGUUCCGGGGGAAGUAUGGUUGCAAAGCUGGAACUGUUCAAUUGCAACUCUGCCUGUGACACCAAGUGGUCGGGUUACUUGGUCUGUUCUGGCCCGGAGUCGGUAGGGUUUCCGGCCUUGUGCUCUUUCCUUACUGUUCUCUGUAACGCCGAAGGCGGGGCUUCCACGGUGGGGAAGCGGUUGUACAAAUCCGGCAAAUCCAGCCAAAUGGGUUCCGGACUCUGUCCAACCUGCAACUGGUAACAGCCUCGGCUGGCUAACAUUUGAGCUGGGACUCGCUUGGGAGGAGCGAGGAUAAUAUAAACCUCUAUGUGACUGAGGUGAGGAAUCUGGUUCUCGUAAAAUGGCUGGAGAUCCCGAGCCUGUAAGUCAUAAAUUAGUUCCCCCACGAGGGGAGGUGUCGAAUUGAAGCCAGUGCGUGCCCUUACUAGUUUAAGGGAUUGUAUACUUCCUUUGGUGUACCCACCUGGAAGUGCCCAAGGGGUCCUAUCCCUGCACU
rnacentral:rRNA from 1 species